rnacentral:rRNA from 1 species
AUUGAACGCUGGCGGCAGGCCUAACACAUGCAAGUCGAGCGCGCGGCGGACGGGUGAGUAAUGUAUGGGGACUGCGAGAUAGAGGGGGAGAACUACUGGAAACGGUAGCUAAUACAGCAUACUAUCGGAUAACCCAUAUGGGAUUAGCUAGUAGGGGAGGGAAUGGCGCACCUCGGCGACGAGCCCUAGCUGGUCUGAGAGGAUGAUCAGCCACACUGGGACUGAGACACGGCCCAGACUCCUACGGAGGCAGCAGUGGGGAAGAUUGCACAAUGGGGCGAAGCCUGAUGCAGCCAUGCCGCGUGUAUGAAGAAGGCCCUAGGGUUGUAAAGUACUUUCAGUCGGGAGGCGUUACCGACAGAAGAAGCACCGGCUAACUCCGGGCCAGCAGCCGCGGUAAUAC